UUUAUUUAUUUAUAUAUAUAUAUAUAUAUAUAUAUAUAUAUUUUUUUUUUUUAAAUGGGGUAGCCCCCAAAAUAUUGGGACAUAUAAAAAAAGACAACUCUGUUCCUCAGAGUAGCUGUUGAAAUUAUAGUUGCGCAGGCACUUUGAUGUCUCUAGAGAACCUCGGGCCAAUUGCACAUCCCCGUGGUGGCGACUUUGCAUGCGGAUGUCAUCCAUAUCAACUUUUGAUGCCAGUUUCUGCGGCUACCAUGGUGAGCGCAGGUAACGGGGAAUCAGGGUUCCAUUCCGUACAGGGACCCUGAGAAACGGUAACCACAUGCAAGGAAGGCAGCAGGUGUGCAAAUGACCCACUGCCGACCUGGGAAGGUAGUGACGACAAAUAACAAUACAGGACUCUUUAGAGGCCCUGUAAUUGUAAUGAGUCCACUUGAAAUCCUUUAACUCUGAUCAAUUGGAGGGAAGUCUGGUGCAGAGCCACUGACCUGUGCGUGCUGCAGCUGAAACUCCACUA
rnacentral:rRNA from 1 species